UGCGAAUGGCUCAUUAAAUCAGUUAUCGUUUAUUUGAUAGUACCUUACUACUUGGAUAACCGUGGUAAUUCUAGAGCUAAUACAUGCUAAAAACCCCAACUUCGGGAGGGGUGUAUUUAUUAGAUAAAAAACCAAUGCCCUUCGGGGCUCUUUGGUGAUUCAUGAUAACUUAACGGAUCGCAUGGCCUUGCGCCGGCGACGGUUCAUUCAAAUUUCUGCCCUAUCAACUUUCGAUGGUAAGGUAUUGGCUUACCAUGGUUUCAACGGGUAACGGGGAAUUAGGGUUCGAUUCCGGAGAGGGAGCCUGAGAAACGGCUACCACAUCCAAGGAAGGCAGCAGGCGCGCAAAUUACCCAAUCCCGACACGGGGAGGUAGUGACAAUAAAUACUGAUACAGGGCUCUUUUGGGUCUUGUAAUUGGAAUGAGUACAAUUUAAACCCCUUAACGAGGAACAAUUGGAGGGCAAGUCUGGUGCCAGCAGCCGCGGUAAUUCCAGCUCCAAUAGCGUAUAUUAAAGUUGUUGCAGUUAAAAAGCUCGUAGUUGAAACUUGGGCCUGGCUGGCCGGUCCGCCUCACCGCGUGUACUGGUCCGGCCGGGCCUUUCCUUCUGGAGAGCCUCAUGCCCUUCACUGGGUGUGUUGGGGAACCAGGACUUUUACUUUGAAAAAAUUAGAGUGUUCAAAGCAGGCCUUUGCUCGAAUACGUUAGCAUGGAAUAAUAGAAUAGGACGUGCGAUCCUAUUUUGUUGGUUUCUAGGACCGCCGUAAUGAUUAAUAGGGAUAGUCGGGGGCAUCAGUAUUCAAUUGUCAGAGGUGAAAUUCUUGGAUUUAUUGAAGACUAACUACUGCGAAAGCAUUUGCCAAGGAUGUUUUCAUUAAUCAGUGAACGAAAGUUAGGGGAUCGAAGACGAUCAGAUACCGUCGUAGUCUUAACCGUAAACUAUGCCGACUAGGGAUCGGGCGAUGUUAUUAUUUUGACUCGCUCGGCACC
rnacentral:rRNA from 1 species